rnacentral:lncRNA from 1 species
GGAAGCCCACCACCUCGAAAGUGAGGGUCUCCUUCCUGAAGUUGGAAGGAGUCCCGCAAGUGAUGGGUAGGUCGAUCUGCCCAAGGACGAGGGGGUAGCGUCCCAGCUGCGGGACAUGCUCCGGGUAGUCGGAUUGGUCAAAGGUUAUGGCGGACCUUGACCAGUCCAGGAAGGUCGGGGUAGCGGGGUCAGCCGCGUAGACCUCGUGGCGUUCCAGCUUUCGGCGGCGCCCGGAGUCAUAGGCCGCUGGCCCGCCAAAGAUCAUGAAGCAGCCAUCCAUGUUGGGGAAGCCAUCUUCCUUCUCUCCGACAUCCUUCUUCUCUUAUUUGGGCUUCCGUCUCUAGUCACCCUUCACCGGAUUGCCCACAAAGUACCUCUUCAUGAGGUUGCAAUCCUUGUAGGCAUGCUUGGCG